ACAAGCGGAGGAGCAUGUGGUUAAUUCGAUGAUACGCGAGGAACCUUACCUGGGCUCGAACGUAAGAUGACUGUAGGUGAAAGCUUACAUCUCUUCGGAGCAUUUUACGAGGUGCUGCAUGGUUGUCGUCAGCUCGUGCCGUGAGGUGUCGGGUUAAGUCCCAUAACGAGCGCAACCCCUACCUUUAGUUGCCAUCAGGUAAUGCUGGGGACUCUAAAGGAACUGCCUACGCAAGUAGUGAGGAAGGCGGGGAUGACGUCAAAUCAGCACGGCCCUUACGUCCAGGGCUACACACGUGCUACAAUGGCCGAUACAGAGGGCAGCUACCUGGUGACAGGAUGCAAAUCUCCAAAGUCGGCCUCAGUUCGGAUCGGAGUCUGCAACCCGACUCCGUGAAGUUGGAUUCGCUAGUAAUCGCGCAUCAGCCAUGGCGCGGUAGAAAUACGUUCCCGGGCCUU
rnacentral:rRNA from 1 species